GGUAUCUCUGUGAGAUUUCCAUAAAGUAUUAACAUGACACGGCGUUCAUCUAAUAAAUCCAAGAACUCAAGGCGAUCCAAAUCAUUUGCAUCUGCUUCCCCAUCAUAGGGGGACAUGCAGAUCGGCAAUUUUGACCUCGAUUUACAGUUCUGCCGAAGGUUAUUUCCACUACAAUCGAUAGAAUGAUAUUUAUAAGUAGUAAUGAAUUAUAAAAUUAUAAAUUAUAAAAGCAGAUUAACUAAAUAAUAACACAUAAUAAUAAGCAAAUUCUAAUAUAUAUGAAGUAGAAUAAUGUAGUACUACCAAGAUCAAUUAUCGC